UGGGGGGAUAUUGCACAAUGGGGGAAACCCUGAUGCAGCAAUGCCGCGUGAGGGAAGAAGGUCUUCGGAUUGUAAACCUAAGUAGUCAGGGACGAUAAUGACGGUACCUGAAGAGUAAGCUCCGGCUAACUACGUGCCAGCAGCCGCGGUAAUACGUAGGGAGCGAGCGUUGUCCGGAUUUACUGGGUGUAAAGGGUGCGUAGGCGGGUUUGCAAGUCAGGCGUGAAAUACCGGGGCUUAACUCCGGGGCUGCGCUUGAAACUGUAGAUCUUGAGUGAAGUAGAGGCAGGCGGAAUUCCCAGUGUAGCGGUGAAAUGCGUAGAUAUUGGGAGGAACACCAGUGGCGAAGGCGGCCUGCUGGGCUUUAACUGACGCUGAAGCACGAAAGCAUGGGGAGCAAACAGGAUUAGAUACCCUGGUAGU
rnacentral:rRNA from 1 species